rnacentral:lncRNA from 1 species
GGGGAACUAAAAGCAUUUGAGAAUUUGAUUAGCUCCAUUGAAUUAAGUGAGAGUAGUGGAAGAAGAUCAAAACUAAAAGUGUAUUGGAUCUGCCACUACACUCUUUUUAGUUUUUAGCAUGAAUGGGCUAAAAGAGGUGAUAGUAGUUGGUAUCGUUGUCGGAGAUUGUCGUACGUACCAAUUAAAAACACUCAUGACUCAAUGAUUAAUUGGAAAUCUUAUGUAUGAUUACAUGGUGUCACG